GGGUGAUUAGCUCAGCUGGGAGAGCACCUCCCUUACAAGGAGGGGGUCGGCGGUUCGAUCCCGUCAUCAC
rnacentral:tRNA from 11 species